GUUUCUCUUUGUUGGCCGGAUCUUUUGCUAUUCUCUUUCGCUUGUUGCAGGUACGUGCUUGUGGGGAAGGUGCAAGAUUCGCGACGGCGCGAUGUGCGGGAUUGACGCGCAAAGUGCGGGAGCGAGGGGCGCGGCAUUGGCGAGGCCGUUGCGGCGCUGAACUUUCUGCUAACAGCCUAGGGUUUCUGCAGUGGUUUCUGCUUUGGGCUAGCGGGCUAGGGUUAGGUGUUGGGCCAUUCUAGGUUUAGUUGGGCCCGGGCAUUGUUGGGUUUGUACAA
rnacentral:lncRNA from 1 species